AAGGAUCAUUAUCGAUUCAACUACAAAAAGGAGAAGGCAGAGUGGUUCGAUCUUGUUGCUGGCCUCUCCCAAGAGGCAUGUGCACGCUUCGUCCUCGCUUUACUUCUUCGUUUGUACACACCUGUGAACCUGUUGGUAGGGUGCCUUUGCUGGCACUCUAUGUUUUUUUCAUAUACUCCACUGCAUGUCUAUAGAAUGUCUCCCUUUGCUCUCGUCAGAGACAAAGAAUAAAAAAGUUAUUAUAACUUUCAGCAACGGAUCUCUUGGCUCUC
rnacentral:misc_RNA from 1 species